rnacentral:rRNA from 1 species
UUAGAGUUUGAUCCUGGCUCAGGAUGAACGCUGGCGGCAGGCUUAAUACAUGCAAGUUGAACGGUAACAUGAGAGUAGCAAUACUUUUGAUGACGAGUGGCGUACGGGUGCGUAACACGUGUGCAACCUACCUUAUACCGGAACAAAACAUCGAGAAAUUGGUGCUAAUAUUCCAUAACAUUAUAGAUAGGCAUCUAUUUAUAAUUAAAGAUACGUUGGUAUGAGAUGGGCACGCGGUCCAUUAGCUAGUUGGUAAGGUAACGGCUUACCAAGGCGACGAUGGAUAGGGGUUCUGAGAGGAUUACCCCCCACAUUGGAACUGAGACACGGUCCAAACUCCUACGGGAGGCAGCAGUAAGGAAUAUUGGUCAAUGGAGGCAACUCUGAACCAGCCAUGCCGCGUGCAGGAAGACGGCCCUAUGGGUUGUAAACUGCUUUUAUUAGAGGAUAAAGUGAUGCACGUGUGCAUUAUUGCAGGUAUCUAAUGAAUAAGCAUCGGCUAACUCCGUGCCAGCAGCCGCGGUAAUACGGAGGAUGCAAGCGUUAUCCGGAUUUAUUGGGUUUAAAGGGUGCGCAGGCGGAUCAAUAAGUCAGUGGUGAAAAUUACGUGCUUAACAUGUGACGUGCCAUUGAUACUGUUGGACUAGUAUUCAAAUGACGUAGCUGGAAUGUGUUAUGUAGCGGUGAAAUGCGUAGAUAUAACACAGAACGCCGAUCGUGAAGACAGGUUACGAAUUUGACAUAGACGCUCAUGCACGAAAGCGUGGGGAUCAAACAGGAUUAGAUACCCUGGUAGUCCACGCUGUAAACGAUGAUAACUCGUUGUUGGGCAGUAAUGUUCAGUGGCUAAGCGAAAGCGAUAAGUUAUCCACCUGGGGAGUACGAUCGCAAGGUUGAAACUCAAAGGAAUUGACGGGGGCCCGCACAAGCGGAGGAGCAUGUGGUUUAAUUCGAAGCAACGCGAAGAACCUUACCAAGUCUUGACAUCCCACUGACCGGUCAGUAAUGUGACCCUUUCUUCGGAACAGUGGAGACAGGUGGUGCAUGGUUGUCGUCAGCUCGUGUCGUGAGAUGUUGGGUUAAGUCCCGCAACGAGCGCAACCCUUAUCCUUAGUAGCCAGCAGUAAGAUGGGCACUCUAGGGAGACUGCCAGGGAUAACCUGGAGGAAGGUGGGGAUGACGUCAAAUCAUCAUGCCCCUUAUGACUUGGGCUACACACGUGCUACAAUGGCGUAAACAAAGUGACGCGAGAGUGUGAGCUUAUGCAAAUCACAAAAAUAACGUCUCAGUUCGGAUUGUAGUCUGCAACUCGACUACAUGAAGCUGGAAUCGCUAGUAAUCGCAGAUCAGAAUGCUGCGGUGAAUACGAUCCCGGGCCUUGCACUCACCGCCCGUCAAG